CUAAUUCACAGCCACUUUGUUCCGAGGCUUGCAGAGAGCUGGGGCGUCUACGCUUCUCUUUGAUGUUCCCCUGCUUGUGUUCUACCAUGUUAUGAGAGAGAAGGCGUGAGGAUGCCAACAGGGCAGGGAGAGCAGGUGACAUGGAGUGGUUUUGGUUACAAUGUCCUGCUGAAAGACUCAUGACCUUGGAUGGAGACCCAGUAUUCUGACAGUGGGUUUGACAUUGUGCUUCAGAAUGUCUUGGAAUUCAACUGAUUUCAUGACGCCAGGCACUCAGUGGCAGUAAAGCAACUCCAAAACAUCCCUGUACCUCCACCAUGUUUGACUGACAUUCUCCCAGAUGGAUUGUGGCAUGUUCAGGUCUGCUUUGGCAAAUUGCAGCCUGGCUGGCUUGUGUCUGUCUCUCAGCAGUGGGGUCCCCCUGGGUCUCUUACCUACAACCCUCUUUCAUUGAGCUGGCAACAGAUGGAGCGAGUUGAAACUGCUUUGAAAUCAUUUGCUUGAAAUACAUGUGGAUACCAAAAGAUUUUAACAGUUUUCUGAAUAAAAUGAUUCAUUAUUUGAAUUAACUUCAAGCAAGGGUGCCAAUAUUCUGGGCCAGAAAUGUUUAUUGGCCACAUACCAAACCCCCUCAUGCCUUAUUGCUUAAAUAG
ensembl:lncRNA